AUGAGUCGACCUGAUGGGAUCAACAUCCCCGACGGUAAGUUCUACCUUGGAGAUGCUGGCUAUGCAUGUCGGCCGGGUAUUCUUCCACCCUUCAGGAAAACCAGGUACUAUCUCAAUGAGUUCUCUGGUAGGAACUAUCCUAGGACUGCACAUGAGCUGUUUAAUCUCAGACACUCCAGCCUUAGAGUAACUGUUGAGAGGGCAUUUGGAGGUCUGAAGAAUAGGUUUAAGAUCCUGGAUCAAAAGCCAUUCCACCCAUACUCCACUCAGGUUAAGCUAGUUCUUGCUUGUUGCAUUCUGCAUAACUGGAUCCUCCAGUGGGGCUUUGAUGAACACGUGCCUGAGGAGGAAGAGGUCGAGCCUGACGAUGUUGUUAGCUCCGGCCAUGGUGUGGAGGCAUUUGACAAUGAUGCUUGGAAGAACAAAAUGUUAGAGUGGGCAGAGGCAAUGUGGCUUAACAGAGGUCAGUGCAGGAUUUGA
rnacentral:rRNA from 1 species